UACGAAGGGUGCAAACGUUGCUCGGAAUUAUUGGGCGUAAAGCGCACGUAGGCGGCUUAGCAAGUCGGAUGUGAAAUCCCUCGGCUCAACCAAGGAAGUGCAUCCGAAACUGCUGAGCUUGAGUACUUAAGAGGAUCGCGGAAUUCCCGGUGUAGAGGUGAAAUUCGUAGAUAUCGGGAGGAACACCGGUGGCGAAGGCGGCAUCCUGGACCGACACUGACGCUGAGGCGCGAAAGCUAGGGGAGCAAACGGG
rnacentral:rRNA from 1 species